GCCGCAAAUAUUUCAAAUGCUGUGCAUUCAAUUUAAUCAACGGGAAAUUGGUUUGGCCUAUCCAUAUCCAACGGAAGACAGGGUAAAUGUAGAAAUAUUUCAGAUUGAAUUAGGCAAGUCUACCGCGAUAAAAUAGCAAAGAAUCCUCCCCCCAGAAACAAUAUAGUCUCUCAAUUUCACUUUGUUGGUGUGGCCACUGAUAGAUAAAAGGGAAGUGAACGAGAGGCAUCAUCAUUCGCAUUCUAACUCUGCAACAGUUAACUCAAUUUCUCAACUCUAUCCAGCCUCAAAAUGAAUUUGAUUUCAAUCGCUUCCCUGUUGUUGGUUGUUGGUGUGGCUGCGAUGGUGGUCGACGCUCAACGUAAACACCAAACGGGCGACGGUGGCGUCAAAUUUCUGCCCAAUUGCGACUAUUUCGGCGGAGACCUUGUCGGCAUUAUUUUACCCGUGGAAGAAUGCGGCAGGGCUUGCAUCAAUCACAGGGGAUGCAAUCAUUUCACCUACCUGGAUGGCGCGUGUCUCCUGAAAAGACACCGCUUAAACUUCAAGAGAACACCGUGUAGUUCGUGCGCUGUUUGCGGUUUCAUCCCUUGGAGAUCCGGAUGACGAAGCCGAAUGAAUAAUAUAUAGCGAAUGAAUGACGAGACGAUGCAGUUGUAACUUGGCUGGUAACGACAAGCAGAAAAUGCUAUGACAAGUUAACCGUUUAGCUUAUUAGAUUAUCUAUAGCCCAUCAGCCUAUUAUAAAUUAAACAUUGGCUGGCCCCCUUUUCCCAUGUAGAUGCAGAUACAUUUAGAAAAUACACACAGCAAAAAUUCAA